rnacentral:lncRNA from 1 species
CUCCAGCACCCUCCCGUUUUCAAUACUCCAGCACCCUCCCGUUUUCAAUACUCCAGCACCCUCCCGUUUUCAAUACUCCAGCACCCUCCCGUUUUCAAUACUCCAGCACCCUCCCCUGUUUUCAAUACUCCAGCACCCUCCCCUGUUUUCAAUACUCCAGCACCGUCUCCUUGUGAGGAUAACGACACUGAUCCUUUUCAAAAAUGUUUUGUGAGAUUAGUAAACACAUUGGGAGGGAUCGUAGACAUUCCUCCAUAUAGAAUCUUUCCAGAUCUUUGAUAUCCUUCGUCUGCGCUUUACGGACUGCCCUGUUCAAUUCAAACCAAGGUUUUCAAUCGGGUUCAAGUCCGAAGACUGAGACGGCCAUUGCAAAAUGUUGAUUUUGUGGUCAAUAAGCAAUUUCUUUGUGGAUUUUGAUGUGUGCUUGGGGUUAUUGUCUUGCUGGAAGAUUCACUUGCGGCCAAGUUUCAGCCUCCUGGCAGAGGCAACCAGGUUGUUGGCUAAAAAGUCCUGGUACUUGGUAAAUGUCUGUAUGGACCUCGCGUUGUGCAUGGGGGCAUUGUCAUGCUGAAACAGGAAAGGACAUUACCCAAACUGUAGCCACAAAGUUGAAAGCACAGAAUCGUCUAGAAUGUCAUUCAUUGUAUGCUGUAGCGUUAAGACUUCCCUUCACUGGAACUAAGGGGGCUAGCUCAAACCAUGAAAAACAGCUCCAGACCAUUAUUCCUCUUCCACCAAACGUUACAGUUGGCAUUAUGCAUUGGGGCAGGUAGCGUUCUUCUGGCAUCCGCCAAACACAGAUUUGUCCGUCGGACUGCUAGAUGGUGAGGCGUGAGUCAUCAUUCCAGAGAACGCGUUUCCACUGCUCCAGUGAGCUUUAUACCACUCCAGCCAUGGAUACCCAUUUCAUGAAGCUCCUGACCAAUGUUCCGUCUGAAAGACUGCCUCGCAGAAAUAUCAGCCCACAGAGAGAAGCACGAGACUGAACUACACUCAACUUUCUAGAGCAGUGGUCACCGACUGGUCGAUCGCGAUCAACUGGUCGAUCUCCAAGGCAUUCCUAGUUGAUCGCCAAACAUUUCUGUAGAAAACUAAACCAUAAAGCCUUGUGUUCCAAUAUUUGUAAUUAGUCUCGGGCUGAAGGUACAAACUCUGUCUUCCUGGCAGGCCCAGGGAGCAAAUCAAGUGCACUAUAGGCCUACCGCUGGCCAAUGGGAUGGCUCAGAUGACCAUAUCUGUAGUAACGUAUCAGGCAGAAAAGAAAGCUACAGCAGAGUUGAUACUGUGAGACUUCAACAUGUUUUAAACCAUCUAGAAACUGUCAAUGAAUACAGCAAAGAGCUGCUGUUUUUAUGACUGAGUUCAUGUUUAACUUCUUACUCAGCACUGUCAACACUUUGUAUUCAACACUUUUAUAAGCCCUAAAAUGUGUGUUCUUCCUAUUUCCACUCAGCGCUACAACAAGCAGGGCAGCAGUAAUGAACGGGUAGGAAAGUGUAUCUAUAGGCUUGCGUUGUUGUUAUUAUUAGCAGCUUGGGUCUUUUUUAAUAUCCAGGAAUAUUUCACUUUCUCUGUUCAUAGGAGUAACAACAUGAAUUUGUGCACGAGGCAGAAAUAAUGCGGUGAGACUCCAGUUUUGCCAUCAGCUGGAACACGGUGUCUCUUUUUGGUCCGUGUCAGUGGAGGAAAGGGAGAGAGGAGGGAUGUUGAGAGACGGACCCUCAGUCUGCUCUUCUCUCCCUCCGCUGAGACUGACCAUCGGAUGCAGGCACCAUCAGCCCAGUG